rnacentral:tRNA from 1 species
GGCUCUAUCGUCUAAUGGUUAGGACGAGUGCUUUUCAAGCACUAAAUCCGGGUCCGAUUCCCGGUAGAGUCACAA